CCACAUCCAAGGAAGGCAGCAGGCACGCAAAUUACCCAAUCCCAGCAAAUGGGGGAGGUAGUGACGAAAUCUAACGAUGCGGGCGCCCUUUCUGGGGCCCCGCAAUCGGAAUGGGCACUUUCUAAACAACCUGUUGAGAACCUACUGAAGGGCAAGUCUGGUGCCAGCAGCCGCGGUAAUUCCAGCUUCAGCAGCAUCUAUUAAAGUUGCUGCGGUUAAAAGGCUCGCAGUUGAAUGUCUGUAUCGAGCGCAGGUCAGGUGGACGUUGGGCGCGUGGAAGUACGGGCAGU
rnacentral:rRNA from 1 species